UGGAUUUUUUGAAUGACCUUGGAUCGGUGUACCGAAUGGACAAAUAUUUGAGCAUUUUCGCAAUACAUAAAUGCACGGAGAAUUCAAAAGUGAACUCUUAACCGUUAGAAGGAAGCGACAAUGAAGUCAGACGCCUUUUUUAAUUUAAACUAACCAUCACCGCUACCCGAGACGAAACCUCUUAGCAUUCAAUGGACGUGCGGGUGCCGGGUCCACCGCGUUGCAGGGAGAGCAGCUUCAACAGUCAAGGACCCAGAAAAGUCUCCUAAAAGGUUCGAUAAUUCAAACAGAAGGACAUGUGUAAUAUUAGCAGGGUUAUAAAACACGAUCAAAGAAUUCUUAACUUUCAGAUAA